ensembl:lncRNA
AUGUUUAUACUGUGGAGGCUCAGAACACAACAUCUACUCAUGCCCGGUAAAAGAGCCAGCCCGGUAGUAAACUUGAGGCUACUAUCGGGUGGGAUCUCCGCUGGGAAGUCCUCAACAACAUCAUCGACCCUCCUUCCGGUGAAACUGUGGUGGAAGAAUCACUCUCAUGAAUGUCACGCCCUUCUGGACUCCGGAGCCGAAGGUAAUUUCAUAGAUUCUUCCCUGGCACAUCACCUGAACAUUCCUGUCCUGCCUGUGUCUCUCCCCAUCCACGUCACCGCACUCAACGGCCAGGAACUGCCUCACGUCACACACCACACAGAACCCAUCACACUACUCACUUCUGGCAAUCAUCGCGAGACCAUAUCCUUUUUCCUCAUGGACUCCCCUGUUGCUCCCAUUGUGUUAGGUCACCCCUGGUUAACCAAACAUAAUCCACGAGUGGAAUGGGGUUCCAACACAGUCACAUUGUGGAGUGAAAGUUGUCAUGAGUAUUGUCUGGUUUCUGCUUGUCCUGUUGUCCCUGUUUCUGUCUUUCAGAAGGAGAACAUGGUGUUGCCAAACGUGCCCGUAGAGUACCUGGACCUGAAGGAAGUGUUCAUUCCUGUGCCAUCCUCUCCUGCUGCCUUCUCACCGUCAUCAUCCGGAUUCCUCACCACCUCACCACCAUCUUGGAUUUUUGUCUUCCCAGCAUCAUUGUCUUUUCCCUGUUUGUUUAUUUAUUUUCAUUAAAAACCCAUAACUCGCUAUUGUUUCCAGUCCUUCCUUCACCCAGCCGUCACAUUGUAUCUCUCUAUUAGUGCUAUUGGAUCUUAGCGCUGCGUUCGACACUAUUGACCACAACAUUCUUUUGCAUAGACUAGAAAACUUUGUUGGUAUUAAUGGAAGUGCAUUAACAUGGUUUAAAUCGUACCUAUAUGACCGCCAUCAAUUUGUUCCAGUGAAUGAAGAGGUAUCAUAUCGAUCACAAGUGCAGUAUGGAGUACCUCCGGUCUCAGUACUAGGACCGUUACUCUUCACGCUUUACAUGUUACCCUUGGGAGAUAUCAUCAGGAAACAUGGUGUUAGCUUUCACUGUUAUGCUGAUGAUACUCAGCUCUAUAUUUCUUUGCGGCCCAGCAAAACAUACCAAUUUGAAGGGAAUGCAUAGUCGAUAUAAAAAACUGGAUGUCGAGUAACUUCUUACUGCUAAAUUCUGAAAAAACAGAGGUGUUAAUUAUAGGACCUAAAAACUCUUCAUGUAAUAACCUAGAACGCUGUCUAAGACUUGAUGAGUGCUCUGUCAAUUCUUUGUCAUCAGUAAGGAACCUAGGUGUGCUAUUUGAUAGCAAUCUUUCCUUAGAAAGCCACAUUUCUAGCAUUUGUAAAACUGCAUUUUUCCAUCUCAAAAAUAUAUCUAAAUUACGACCUAUGCUCUCAAUGUCAAAUGCAGAAAUGUUAAUUCAUGCGUUUAUGACCUCAAGGUUAGAUUAUUGUAAUGCUUUAUUGGGUGGUUGUUCUGUAUGCUUAAUAAACAAACUCCAGCUGGUCCAAAAUGCAGGAGCUAGAGUUCUUACUAGAACCAGGAAGUAUGACCAUAUUAGUCCAGUUCUGUCAACACUGCACUGGCUACCUAUUAAACAUUGUAUAGAUUUUAAAAUCUUGCUUAUUACUUAUAAAGCCCUGAAUGGUUCAGCACCUCAGUAUUUGAACGAGCUCUGGUUACAUUAUAGUCCUCUGCGUCCGCUGUGUUCUCAAAACACUGGCAAUUUGAUAAUACCUAGAAUAUCAAAGUCAACUGCGGGCGGCAGAUCCUUUUCCUAUUUAGCGCCUUAAAUCUGGAAUAACCUACCUAACAUUGUUCGGGAGGCAGACACAAUCUUGCAGUUUAAAUCUAGAUGAAAAGCCCUAUCUCUUUAACCUGGCUUACACAUAACACACUAAUACGCUUCUAAUAUCCAAAUCCGUUAAAGGAUUUUUAGGCUGCAUUAAUUAGGUAAACCAGAAUAGGGAACACUUCCCAUAACACUCGUUGUACUUGCUACAUCAUUAGAAGAAUGUCAUCUACGCUAAUAUUAGUCUGUUUCUCUCUUAUUCCGAGGUCACCGUAGCCACCAGAUCCAGUCUGUAUCCAGAUCAGAUGGUCACUGCAGUCACCCAGAUCCAGUACGUAUCCAGCCCAGAUGGUGGAUCAGCACCUAGAAGAGACCUCUACAGCCCUCAAAGACAGCGGAGACCAGGACAAUUAGAUGAGCCCCAGAUACAGAUCCCCUGUAAAGACCUUGUCUCAGACGACCACCGGGAAAAGACCACAGGAAACAAAUGAUUCUUCUGCACAAUCUGACUUUGCUGCAGCCUGGAAUUGAACUGCUGGUUUCGUCUGGCCAGAGGAGAACUGGCCCCCCGACUGAGCCUGGUUUCUCCCAAUGUUUUUUCUCCAUUCUGUCACCGAUGCAGUUUUGGUUCCUUGCCGCUGUCACCUCUGGCAUGCUUAGUUGGGGACACUUAAUUUACAGCAAUAUCAUUGACUCGAUUGCAAAUGAUUGCACAGAUACUAUUUAAACUGAACUGAGCUGAAUGAUGACAUCACUGAAUUCAAUGAUGAACUGCCUUUAACUGUCAUUUUGCAUUAUUGACACACUGUUUUCCUAAUUAAUGGUGUUCAGUUGCUUUGACACAAUCUGUUUUGUAUAAAGCGCUAUAUAAAUAAAGGUGACUUGACUAUACU